rfam:Brassica rapa chromosome A3, whole genome shotgun sequence.
GAGAAUAUGAGAGACGUCUCUUAGUUUUUAACUAAAAAAAUUAAGAGAUGUCUCCUAAAUAAGAGAUAUAAAAGACGUCUCUUAACUUUUUUACUUAAAAGCUAAGAAACGUCUCUUAUAUUCGC